AAGUCCUCGUGCUGCAUCCCU
rnacentral:miRNA from 1 species